GUUCAUUUCCCACUGAAAGGUUGGUUUCCUUAUGCACCAACUUACAGAUAAAGCACUUGAGUCGGCAAAUGGACCUAUGGUGCAUGAUUUCAAUAGCUUCCUUACAGCUUUUCGUAGAACCUUUGACACAACUAAAAGGUCGAAGAAUGCUGCCAGGGCGUUAAUGAGAAUUAAAGAGGGAUCUAAGUCUGUUGUCGAUUAUGCUAUUCAGUUCCGUACCCUUGCUUCACAGGUAGAUUGGACCAACAAUGGACUGACUACUGCGCUCAUGG